rnacentral:rRNA from 1 species
GACAGAGGUCCCGAGCGUUAGGCGGAAUCACUGGGCUUAAAGCGUGUGUAGGCGGAUUUGUAAGUACCUUGUGAAAUCCCACGGCUCAACCGUGGAACUGCUUGGUAUACUGCUUAUCUUGGGCCAUCUAGGGGCUACCGGAACAAGUGGUGGAGCGGUGAAAUGCGUAGAUAUCACUUGGAACGCCAAUGGUGAAAACAGGUAGCUGGGGAUGUGCCGACGCUGAGACACGAAAGCCAGGGGAGCAAACGGGG